rnacentral:rRNA from 1 species
UACAGAGGUCUCAAGCGUUGUUCGGAUUUAUUGGGCGUAAAGGGUGCGUAGGCGGUGGGGUAAGUUGGGUGUGAAAUCCCGCAGCUUAACUGCGGUUAGCACUCGAUACUGCCUUGCUAGAGCGCUAGAGAGGGGGCUGGAAUUUACGGUGUAGCAGUGAAAUGCGUAGAUAUCGUAAGGAACGCCAGUUGCGAAAGCGAGCCCCUGGAUAGUUUGCUGACGCUGAGGCACGAAAGCUGGGGGAGCAAACGGG